GCUUGUCUCAAAGAUUAAGCCAUGCAUGUCUCAGAAUAAAUCUCUAUACGUUGAAUCUGCAAAUGGCUCUUUAAAACAGUUAUUGUUUACUUGAUGGUCAUUCCUUACAUGGAUAACUGUGGUAAUUCUAGAGCUAAUACAUGCGCCCAAACCCAACUUCUUGGAAGGGUUGUGUUUAUUAGAUACAGAACCAACCCAGGCUCCGCCUGGCCUUGAGGUGAUUCACAAUAACCGAACGAAUCGCAUAGCUGCCGCUGGCGAUAGACCAUUCAAGUUUCUGACCUAUCAGCUAUCGUCGGUAGGGUAUUGGCCUACCGUGGCAAUGACGGGUAACGGAGAAUUAGGGUUCGAUUCCGGAGAGGGAGCCUGAGAAACGGCUACCACAUCUAAGGAAGGCAGCAGG
rnacentral:rRNA from 1 species